CACACACACAUUUAUACGUUAAUUCCAGACCCCUAGUUUAUCCAUUUUGGAUUCUUUAAAAGGGUGAUUACAGUGUCUAGGAACAGCUCGUUCUUUGUUCUUUCAGGGUCAAGGUUCUUAAGAAUUCACUGCUCAGACAGACAUAGGGCAUCGUCCUCCUCCAGCUCAAGUCAAAUCUUCCAAACACUUAUUAAGGCCCUUCAGAGCUGAUGAGACAAAGCACAGGCAGCAUCUGCCCAAUAUAAAAUAUGCACAGUAACACUAUCUUAAUUAGAUGUACAUGUCUCUGAAGAUAUAAAUAAAUGCUUCCUUUUUGAUAUGUCUGAUUUAAUAGCCUAAUGACAGGGGAAUGUUGCUGAAAUAUAAUUCAGGGGGUGAGGGAGAAAUUAAUAAACUCAAAUAUUUAAAGCUCAACAGCAAUUAACAGCCCAUUUAAAACGAAUUUCCAAUUUUAAAUUGUAUUUCUCCUCAUCCAACCAGGACUAAGCCCCGGGGUUCAUCAUCAUGCAUUUUCAGGCCGAGCAGGGUGCAGCGCCCUGUGCUUGGGAAGCAGCUUCAGAUUCCACUUUCCGGGGGCAGCCUGCCGUGAGACCAGCCCGGCAGAGAGGAAGGCGGAGGCCCGCCUGAGAGGCCGGGCGCAGGCUUUCCCGCUGUCCGCUGCGCUGUGUUAGCCUCUCUCACGUCCUUAGGGAUUUGGACUUCGACGUUCAGCCUGCGUGUUCAGCUGCACACACUCGCACGUGUGCAAACCAGAUGUGGUUUCUCUUGAGGGUCCCCAGGCCUCACGGAUGGUCUCCCUGGGCACCCCGCCGAGUCCUGACUUCCUUGGUGGCAUAUGGCAGAAACAUGAAGGCAGACUCUUUACCCACUAAACUACACGGGAAGAUCUACAAGGGUGUGCUGGCUCUUCCUAAAACAUGCUCCACCCAACUGGGGCUGCCGGAAGCGCACAGGAGUGGAUGGAAACAAUGACAUCCAGGCUUGCUCCACUGUCAAGUUUCAGGUUCCCCAAGGAGAAUCUGGCUCCAGUGAAGUGUGAGAGCAACCAGCCACGGUACACAAGGACCCAAGCACCUGGGCCAUUAGCGUGAAGAUGCUACCAUGCUUCAGGCAGCCUCUGGAAGCCUCAACUGUCCGCUCCUGAGAGUAAGAAGGAAGAAGGGAAACAGAAGCAGGGCCUGACCACAGAGGAUGCCCAGGACCAGUUUAUAGACUCCCAAGGACUAUUAACCUUCUGGAGAAGGAAAAAAAAAAAAAAUACCCUUCUUGUAUCUAGGACAUGCUGGAUGCUAAUUUAAUGUGGCAAUGAGAUAGAAGUCCGCUCAGGCUGCUGCCAACCUCACUGGAUUGGAAUGCCGUCUACUUAGCAUAGAAGUCAAACAAUUCCCUGGCAAUAGAUUGCCUUCCACUUGUAGGUCUACUAAAUAAAUAGAAAAGUAAUUAACAGUGGGCGAUGGCAGAUAUAUCAGAGGGGAUUUCAUUACAGCAGAACAACAGAGGGAACCAGGAAGUCACUUUGUGUCCCAGCAUCCGAUGGGGCUCUCAUGCUCCAUCUCUGCGAGAGAAGAAAUUUCAGAAUUUCCUAUCUUCACUUUAAUCAACAGGGAAGAGAAAAAUCUGAAAUGCCUGAAAUUAGUCCCCAAAUAAAUAAUUCUCCUUAUUGUCCCAUUUAAUUAUUUUGGUCCUGGAACUUGUGGAUGAUUAUACCUUUUUUAUUGUAUUUUUGCUUUUCUUCCUUCCUUCCUUUCUUUUUUUUUUUUUUUUUUUUUUUGGAGGGG